GUGAAAUUGUUGAAAGGGAAGCGCUUGCAACCAGACCUGCCUGCAGUUGCUCAUCCGGGCUUUUGCCCGGUGCACUCUUCUGCUGUCAGGCCAGCAUCAGUUCGGGCGGUCGGAUAAAGGCUUCGGGAAUGUAGCUCCUCUCGAGGAGUGUUAUAGCCCGUUGCGAAAUGCGGCCAGCCUAAACUGAGGUCCGCGCUUCGGCUAGGAUGCUGGCGUAAUGGUUGUAAGCGGCCCGUCUUGAAACACGGACCAAGGAGUCUAACAUCUGUGCGAGUGUUUGGGUGUCAAACCCGUACGCGUAAUGAAAGUGAACGGAGGCGGGAACCCCUCGGGGUGCACCGUCGACCGAUCCUGAUGUCUUCGGAUGGAUUUGAGUAAGAGCAUAGCUGUUGGGACCCGAAAGAUGGUGAACUAUGCCUGAAUAGGGUGAAGCCAGAGGAAACUCUGGUGGAGGCUCGCAGCGGUUCUGACGUGCAAAUCGAUCGUCAAAUUUGGGCAUAGGGGCGAAAGACUAAUCGAACUAUCUAGUAGCUGGUUCCUGCCGAAGUUUCCCUCAGGAUAGCAGUAACGUUUUCAGUUUUAUGAGGUAAAGCGAAUGAUUAGAGGCCUGGGGGUUGAAACAACCUUCACCUAUUCUCAAACUUUAAAUAUGUAAGAAGUCCUUGUUGCUUAGUUGAACGUGGACAUUUGAAUGUAUCGUUACUAGUGGGCCAUUUUUGGUAAGCAGAACUGGCGAUGCGGGAUGAACCGAACGCGGAGUUAAGGUGCCGGAAUGCACGCUCAUCAGACACCACAAAAGGU
rnacentral:rRNA from 1 species